AAAUUAGGUUUAGCAGUGGUCUUCUCUUUAUCGCCGCCUCUCUCUACCUACGCCUCUUCUUGUAAUUCAUUCUCCGUCGACUUUGAAGAAGAUAUUUAUGCUUCAUCAAAUCACAGAUCCGUCAAGGAAGAAGACAACACAGAUGGAUGUUGAAAGCGAUCACAAUGGUUGCUCUAAUUUUAGUUCUGACUCAAAUAUCAGCGGCAGGCGUCGAACAUGUCUUUACCGAUCACGUCUCAGUUUGAUCCUCUUCUGUUUUCCUUGACGUGUUUGCUGUCGACCUCUCUUUUUUAUCUCCCCACCUCUCUCUUUAAUACCUAAUCAUGCUGGAAUACAGUAAACUAUGAUUUACGACGCCACUACUAUUGAGAAAGCUGAUCUUCUACUGUUUAGCAGGCAAUUGAUCCAAUAACAUGCAAAUGUCUGUACAAAAUGCUCAAUCGAGAUGUAUUUCAUGAAUAAAUGACACACUUCUACUGGGAAAGAGGCUGCCGUGCGAUGUCAACAAAAAUUGAGAAGGAUUACCUUUGCCUAUAUGGAUUUUUCAAUGAAUAGUAGGAUCAAUCUGGCUGCUGAAGAGGUGCCUCCGGAACUUCCAGAGCCUUCUUUGGGUAUUAAUUUUGCUAGAGAUGGAAUGCAAAAAAAGGAUUAUUGGUUGCAGUUCAUAGUGAUGCAUGGUUGCUUGCCGUGUCCUUUUAUUUUGAGGCUAGAUUUGGAUUUGACUAACCUGAUAGGCUGUUAAUUAUGAGUUUUAUGUUGGCUUGCGCCUCAAUAUGAUAUUUGAAGGGAAAGACUCAUGAAAGAAGGUACCUCGAUUUUUUGUUUUCUGAUUAUGUUGCCUUUUGUGUUUUUGAAUUGAUCAUUUUUUCUGCAUAAACUCAUUGACUAGCAAUCUAUAAACAUGUUGCUGCUAUCUAUUUUCUUGAGCAUGUGUACUAAUAAAUAUAUCUGAGGUAGCUAAUUUUGGAAUUGGUUUUGAAUAUAAAAGGUUCCCCAUUCAAUUUCCGUCUUUACAAUUUUUAUGAAUAUCUGCAAAACUCAUACGUUAUAUGAUGUAUAAGUAUCUAUCGCAUGAAGCUCUCCAACAAAUUAAGUUGGUCUCUUGGGAGUUUUUCCUAGCGCUGUAUGCUUAAAUUAAUGUACACCUAUGAAUUUGGGUUUACUUUAUGGAGUUCUUUAAUUUAUGAAUAAUAGGCACAAACUGAAAAGGUUCUUGAGGAAAAUAGUUAUAACAAAUUUUAUUUGAGCCAGAUCGUUAAUAAUAUUUUGAUGCGGCAUUACUUAUGAUGUUUGUUUCAUGUUCUUUCCAUGUUUGUUUCAUGUUCUUUCCAUGUUUCAGAAACAAAUAUGCCCUUAAAAGUCUGCCAAGGCAUGCAACCUGAAUUCGCUCAAGUGAUUUUGUUGAAGUUUAGCCCGAACUGAACUCUUUUGAUUCUUAAUCUGAUAAGCAACAAAUGUCUUAAUAUUAUCUUUCCAAUUGACCUGGAUUUGACAUGUUGAGAUUGAUUGUUUUCCAAGAGAAAGUACUAAUUAGUAGUAUAAUAAUUUUAAGCUUUUACUUAUAUUUUAUUCCAUAGGCUGUGUAAGAUAAUACCAAUUUUGUAUUUAAUUGUUAAUUAUGGAUUAUUACUUAA